CAAGAAUAUUAGCAAUGCUCGCAAGAGUGAACUAGCUAACUGAAAUCACUUGGGCUUGAAAUAUUAGUCACAAGAGAUGUCGUAAGGGAAAAUAAUGAUAUUACCUUACUAAGAGUGUCGUCAAAAACUGGUGCCAGAAGACUCGGUAAGACCAGAGACGCAAACGUUAAUCAUCUUAAUCAGGCGUAAAGGGUUUGUAGGCUGCUUUGAAAAUCUUAAUUUUAUAUUAGCUCCGCGAUAAAAUUGGGAUCAAUUAAAGCUAGAAUCUAAUAGAGGUUAUAUUGAAUAAUACUUAGAGGAGGGAUUAAAUCCUUAGAUCCUAAGGGGAAUACUUAGGGCGAAAGCAUUUUACCACUAAAGAUUGACGCUGAGAAACGAAGGUGAGGAUAGGAAAUAGGAUUAGAUACCCCGGUACCCCUCUCUGUCAACGAUGAAUGGUAGUUCCUAGCUUAAAAACUAGAGACGAUGUUAACACGUUAACCAUUCCGCCUUGUGAGUACGAUUGCAAAAUUGAAAACAAAAAAAUUAGUCGGUCUCGGAGCAAACGAAGUGAAGCAUGUUAUUUAAUUCGAUA
rnacentral:rRNA from 1 species